UGGGACAAGAAGACCCUAUGAAUUUGUUUAAAGUGAUUUAAUUAACUUUAAUUAUUUUAUUUUAAUUGGUUGGGGCGAUUUUUUAAGAUUAAGUAUCUUAAAAAGAAGGUUAUUAGGACCAUUAAUAAUGAGGAUUUGAGUAAAAUACUCUAGGGAUAACAGCGUAAUAAUUUUGGAUAGUUCAUAUAGAUAAAAUAGUUUGCGACCUCGAUGUUG
rnacentral:rRNA from 1 species